UCCAGCAGCCAUAUCACAGGUGGCAGCCCACUGAAGCUCAGCAGGUGUGAGCCUGGACAGUACCUGGAUGGGAGACCUCCUGGGAAAAACUAAGGUUGCUGCUGGAA
rnacentral:rRNA from 1 species